rnacentral:piRNA from 1 species
UGAGCCUGAAUGAAUAAGGUGUUGCUGA